rnacentral:rRNA from 1 species
UACGAAGGUGGCAAGCGUUGUUCGGAUUUACUGGGCGUACAGGGAGCGUAGGCGGUUGGGUAAGCCCUCCGUGAAAUCUCCGGGCCUAACCCGGAAAGUGCGGAGGGGACUGCUCAGCUAGAGGAUGGGAGAGGAGCGCGGAAUUCCCGGUGUAGCGGUGAAAUGCGUAGAGAUCGGGAGGAAGGCCGGUGGCGAAGGCGGCGCUCUGGAACAUUUCUGACGAUGAGGCUCGAAAGCGUGGGGAGCAAACAGG